GAUGAAGAACGCAGCGAAAUGCGAUACGUAAUGUGAAUUGCAGAAUUCAGUGAAUCAUCGAGUCUUUGAACGCACAUUGCGCCCCCUGGUAUUCCGGGGGGCAUGCCUGUCCGAGCGUCAUUGCUGCCCUUAAGCACGGCUUGUGUGUUGGGCCUCCGUCCUCCUCCCGGGGGACGGGCCCGAAAGGCAGCGGCGGCACCGCGUCCGGUCCUCGAGCGUAUGGGGCUUCGUCACCCGCUCUUGUAGGCCCGGCCGGCGCUUGCCGACACAUCAAUCUUUUUUCCAGGUUGACCUCGGAUCAGGUAGGGAUACCCGCUGAACUUAAGCAUAUCAAUAAGCGGAGGA
rnacentral:misc_RNA from 1 species